rnacentral:rRNA from 1 species
AUGACGUCUCAACCCCCGAAAAUUUUGGUGUGGAACGUGCGCGGGCUUAAUUCCCCGGUGCGCCGUAGCUCAGUUUACCAGAUUGUUCUCUCGGACGCGGUUAGCAUAGUGUGCCUACAAGAGACUAAGAUGGAGUUGAUGACUUGUGAUGUUGUGAAAAAAUGCCUUGGGAAUAAAUUUGAGGACUUUUUCUAUGUUCCCGCGGUCGGUACUCGUGGCGGCAUCCUCCUCGCUUGGGAUAAAACGGUGGUGAUGGGCUCAAAUCCACAUGUUACGACAAACACUCUAACGACCCUUUUUAAACAA